CAUCUAAGUGGGAAGCCUCCCCCAAGAUUAGAUAUCCCUUAAGGUUCCAGGUAGACUACCUGGUUGAUAGGUCGCAGGUGUAAGUACAGUAAUGUAUUCAGCCGAGCGAUACUAAUAAACCGUUUGACUUGCCCCUUUCUU
rnacentral:rRNA from 1 species